ensembl:lncRNA
GGGGCCGCGGAGUGGGCAGCUCCGCUUCGCUAUCGCGCCGGCUCGGUCCCAGCCGCCGCGCUGCGUGCGCGCUUUCGGGCAAGAGCCCUGUCCCGGCGUGCGGUGCCCGGGAGCUGCCCCCGCCCGAGCGGACGGUGCGGGCACCCGGGGCCGCGGGGGAGCUCCCUCCGCCGGGGAGCACCGGGCGCGGGGACCCUGCAGGGACCCGGCAGCGCGGCUCUGCCUCCGGGGCUGCUGGCAGCACGGGGUCCGCUGUGCCAGGCGCGGGUACCUGCUGCGGACUGGUCCUUGCCUUCCCCCGUGCCGGCUGCCGGCCACUCGCUCCGCUCCGCGCCGCCGUCACUUACCGAUGAUUUUUUCACGGGGACGGGGCAUCAAUUCCUCCCCUUUCCCCUGCCAAGAGGUGCGAAAGCCCUGCAAGUUUGCAAGCGCUCGCCCCCCCGCACUUGGACUGGUGGCCCGUACUAAUUAAUUUAAUACAUUUAGAACUAAUUGUAUUUACUUUAGCCUCCCCUCCCGCACUCUCCCCCCCCGUCCUCCGGGAGGGGGAUGGGGCCGGGGCCGGGCCCGGGGGGGCCGUGGAAGCGGCGAGCGGGCUGGACGCGGAGCGGCAGAUCGGCUCGGUUUAAACCUCGACAGCGCCAUCUCUCGUCGAAAGGUCAGUGCCGAGGCGGUCCCCGGCCGGUGCGGGGCCGCGGUGUGGCCGGACCGGGUCCCGCCGUCGGGGGCUGGACCCGCCGCAGCCGCCGCGGUCCGUGCCCGGCACCGGUACCGGCGCGGGUCGGCCCAGCCCGGCCCGGCCGCACCGCGGUGCUCCGCUGCAGGCCGGGGAACGCCGCAGCCUCCGGGGCUGCCAGGCUCGAUUUUCCUGCUGGGCUUUAUGGGAAUAUCGAUAGAAUUAAAGUUACUUGUAAUUCCGUGAUAAAUGAGAUGUCUCUAGUAAGUAAGAUUAAGUGCAGUGCUAUAAAGUUGUUUAUCUGAAAAGUAAUUCUCAGAAACCUGACUUCUGACACUUGGUCAUAUAUUAAACCAGCUUCUUGAACAUUGUACUUCAAAUCCUCCCUGCUCCCCUUGCCCGCUCCCUUCCCCCUCGGAGUUUACUAUUUAUAACAGCACAUAGGGUAUUACUUUGUAGGUGCGGGCAAGUCUCUGGGUAAUUUUUCGCCGACUGUGAAAAUCAUCAUUUGCAAAAGCCAAAGAAUCUCUGCUUAGAAAAUAGUACUUGGCUAGUGGAUUUACGAAGGGAUAACAUCUUCUGACUAUGCCAUUAUCAGUACGAGUGCCAGUACUAACAUCUGAAAGUCAUACAGCAUGUACUGUUCCUGGCAGCUAAGAAAGGUAGGGCAUACUGCAAAUUUAGGAAGAUAACUACAUCUAGAAAUGAUCAUAGAGGCAAUUCUGUAAAGCUAAAAAAUGCUACCAGCAUCGCUGACAAAAUUAAAAUGGAGUUCUGCACAGUCCCAAAACACACGCACAUACACAGAGCCGUGGACAUCUGCUAGCUUUAUCUUACAGAUUGCGAUUCACGACAAAGUUAAUACAACUUAACUACUCGGGCUGGCUUUCCUAUUUCUUCACGUUGUUGGAAUCAACAAAACUUCCAGGCUCACAGCAUAAAUCCCCCCAGGACAGUCUAAUACCCUGUAUUUGUUUUUUUCCCCAAGCAAGAUGAAUGUGAUACUGUAUAUCACUUAACAUGCGCACCUAUGAGAGACAUAAAAUGUGUGCUAAUAUUUUUAAAUGAAAAGGUUAUUGCUUUUCAGAACGUGCAGUCGUAGUAUUUCACUUGCCUGUUUGAUAGAUGGCUGUGCAAGUGUGGCUCCAGCCCCAUAAAAUAGUUUGUUUGGACGUGAGGAUUCAAAGUGCUACAUUUGCAAAUGAGUAAAUUUCCUGAGUAAACUCUGAACUCUAGACAGAGUAUGAAAUUGUGUGAGCUAAUGGGGACUGUCCCUUAAUUUAUACCAAUGUAAGCUGCAAAUUAAUUGAAGCUCUGACCUACCAGAACAGCGAGUAAAAUUAUUAGUUGUACAGUAUUGUUCUCGUGUGAUUGUUACACAGAACUGCUGCACUAAAAUGUCUCUACUGUUCAGUGUAGCAGAGAAAAAAAGAUUGUUGGCAAUUUUUGGAUAACCUUCAGAAGCAACAUUCUCCUCCCUACACUAUAUAAUUCUCAUUUUAGUAGUAUUUUUCUUUAUUAUUUGGCUAUUCACAAUGGGUGUCUAAACAUUUACAGUCCUCUAUUAACAGUGUUUCUUCCAUAACAAUCACACACUUUCAUUUCAAUUAGAGCUAUUCAGUCUCCAGUUUUUCCACAAUUAUCGCAGGCCAAUUCCCCCAGACUGCUCCCU